UGCUGACUUUGCUAAAUUAGUUGGUCACUUACACUUGAAGGAUAUCAGUGGUUCUUUGGACUGGAUUUCAAAUCAGUGGACGAUAUAUUUGUUGUGUUCAGGAUCUCUAUAAGAAUAUGGCAAUUGAUGCCUGUGAUCUGCCAACGCUGACAUAGUUGCCAGCUCAUUGCCACACAGUGAGUACAGAGUUCAGAAACAACUAGCGUGUGCGCAAAUAAAAUCAGCUGUCAACUCACACCCCAGUAGCCUGUUCUGUGUUUACUGCACUAACCGGAGCCUUGCCCGCUACUACAUUUUGG